rnacentral:rRNA from 1 species
GGGUCCGCACAAGCGGUGGAAUAUGUGGUUUAAUUCGACGCACCACGAAAACCUUACCUGGGCUUGAACUGCUAAUAGUAAGAGCCGGAAACGGCGAUGAUCCGCAAGGAAGUUAGUAGAGGUGCUGCAUGGCUGUCGUCAGCUCGUGUCGUGAGAUGUUGGGUUAAGUCCCGCAACGAGCGCAACCCUUAUCCCAUGUUACCUGUAGAAAUACAGGGUCUCUGAGGAAACUGCCAUUGAUAAAAUGGAGGAAGGUGGGGACGAAGUCAAGUCAUCAUGGUCUUUAUGUCCAGGGCUACACACGUAUUACAAUGGACGGUACAGAGGGUGGCAAUACCGUAAGGUGGAGCAAAUCCCUAAAGCCGUACCUCAGUUCGGAUUGUGGGCUGCAAUUCGUCCACAUGAAGUAGGAAUCGCUAGUAAUCGCAGAUCAGCAGGCUGCGGUGAAUACG